rnacentral:rRNA from 1 species
GACGAACGCUGGCGGCGUGCUUAACACAUGCAAGUCGAACGAAGUGGCGAACGGGUGAGUAACGCGUAAUCAACCUGCCCUUCAGAGGGGGACAACAGUUGGAAACGACUGCUAAUACCGCAUACUGAAGGAGGGGAUUGCGUCUGAUUAGCUAGUUGGAGGGGUAACGGCCCACCAAGGCGAGGAUCAGUAGCCGUUCGGAGAGGAGUAUCGGCCACAUUGGGACUGAGAACCGGCCCAUACUCCUACGGGAGGGAGCAGUGGGGAAUCUUCCGCAAUGGACGAAAGUCUGACGGAGCAACGCCGCGUGAGUGAUGACGGCCUUCGGGUUGUAAAGCUCUGUUAAGCGGGACGCGGUACCGGAAUAGAAAGCCACGGCUAACUACGUGCCAGCAGCCGCGGUAAUUC